rnacentral:rRNA from 1 species
AGGACGAACGCUGGCGGCGUGCUUAACACAUGCAAGUCGAACGAACCUUCGGGUUAGUGGCGAACGGGUGAGUAACACGUGGGCAACCUGCCUCGAGCUCUGGGAUAACACCGGGAAACCGGUGCUAAUACCGGAUAUGAACAGAGAAGGCAUCUUCUCUGUUGGAAAGUUUUUUCGGCUCGAGAUGGGCCCGCGGCCUAUCAGCUUGUUGGUGGGGUAACGGCCUACCAAGGCGACGACGGGUAACC